ACGGAAGGCAGCAGCUAAGAAUAUUCCGCAAUGGACGAAAGUCUGACGGAGCGACGCCGCGUGGAUGAUGAAGGCCGGAAGGUUGUAAAAUCCUUUUAUAACUGAGGAAUAAGUAUUAUCAGAGAAAGGUAGUAUGGUGACUGUAGGUUAUGAAUAAGCAACGGCUAAUUACGUGCCAGCAGCCGCGGUAACACGUAAGUUGCGAGCGUUGUUCGGAAUUAUUGGGCGUAAAGGGCAUGUAGGCGGUUUUGCAAGCUUGAUGUGAAAUCCCGGAGCUCAACUCCGGAAUUGCGUUGAGAACUGCAUAACUAGAGUCACUGAGGGGCAAUCAGAAUUCCAGGUGUAGGGGUGAAAUCUGUAGAUAUCUGGAAGAAUACCAAUGGCGAAGGCAGGUUACCAGCAGAUGACUGACGCUGAGGUGCGAAGGUGCGGGGAGCAAACAGGAUUAGAUACCCUGGUA
rnacentral:rRNA from 1 species